UUGUUUUCUUUAAUUUUGUUCAAAUACAUCAUAAAAGGGCAUAUUUGUCUCUAACACAUAUCAAAAAGUCAUCACAAUGACAGGAUAUUUUCACAUUUUGCAUAAAAAAGAAAUUCUAGUAGGAAUUUUGCAAAAAAAAGAAAGUUCUUAAAAAAUCAGUGAAGUGUUAAACAAGUAAGUACUAAAAUUGGCACAUGUACAAGAACAGCACAUAUCACAAUUAGUAUGUAUAAUACUUAGACCAUACCAAACUUCAUGUAUCGGGAGAAAAAGCAGGAUAACAUACAUGACUUGCAAGAAGUUGAUUAGGAAGUUUUAUAUAGUCAUUACAAAACUGUCAAACAACGUUGCGCAUAGAACACUAAUGCACAUAUUAGGUGAAUGGCAGGAGUGUAUCUUGGAAUUUAAACAGAAAAAAAAUUAUUUUUG